rnacentral:rRNA from 1 species
UGGGGAAUAUUGGACAAUGGGGGAAACCCUGAUCCAGCAACGCCGCGUGAGCGAUGAAGGCCUUCGGGUCGUAAAGCUCUGUCAGAUGGAACGAAAGAAGCUUACCUAAUACGUAAGCUGUUGACGGUACUAUCAAAGGAAGCACCGGCUAACUCUGUGCCAGCAGCCGCGGUAAGACAGAGGGUGCAAGCGUUGUUCGGAAUUACUGGGCGUAAAGCGUGCGUAGGUGGUUUUGUGUGUCUGGUGUGAAAUCCCUUGGCUCAACCAAGGAAGUGCGCCGGAAACUGCAGAACUGGAGUGUAGGAGAGGAUAGUAGAAUUCUCAGUGUAGAGGUGAAAUUCGUAGAUACUGGGAGGAACACCGGUGGCGAAGGCGACUAUCUGGACUACAACUGACACUGAUGUACGAAAGCGUGGGUAGCAAACAG